ensembl:lncRNA
AUUGACCUGGGUUUGAUCCCUGGGUCGGGAAGAUACCCUGGAGAAGGAAAUGGCAACCCACUCCAGUAUUCUUGCCUGGAGAAUCCCAUGGAUGGAGGAGCCUGGUAGGCUACAAUCCACGGAGUCGCAAAAAGUCGGACACAACUGAGUGACUUCACUUCACGUAUAAAACGCCUGGGGAAAAUGCCCAUUAAUUUGAACCUUCACUUGUAUACUUAGACAGUCUUUUCACAUUCUGAAUGGCAGUCUUGGGCAUGUCCAUUUGUAAACCCGCUGAGAACUCUGGUGACAAGAAAGGCAGUGGCUGGCAGACCUUACAAGCCCUUAAAAGUACAAGAACAAAAAGGUUUUUUGUAAACCUGAAAGAAAACAAACCCAACAUUAUGUAAUUAUAGUAUUUAUGCUGCUAUUAACCUUUAAUCUUUGAGCCUGUUAAUGAAGGCAGAGAACUGUCACUGUACCCUUCAAAAUCAUAUCUUUCUCUGUCCUUGUGAUAAAUACCUGUGGCUUCUUGGCAGUACUUUUUGCUUUUAUUCCAGAGACUUUCAUGGUUAAAGGCAGGCUGUAUUUAAUAAAAUCAUUAUUGUUUUCCCUCUCUUAAAAGCACCAUUUAAAUCAGAAGUUACUGGAUUUCUAAAUGUUUAUGUAAGAGCAUCUUGUAACUCUUUCAUGAUGCCCAGAACUCAUUUGAGGUAUGAGGUACAGAGUUAAUAGCUAAUAUAAAGGGAAGUAGGUUUGUAACUGGCUUGUUCUACAUGCAUACACAUCUUAAUAAAUCCCCUAAAUUAGACACUUUUUAGCUUGCUUUUGGUGACUUCAAAGACCUAUGUUUAGGAAUAUAGAAAGUAGUGAAUUUCUCGAUCAGACAGGGAAUUGGCUCAAGUGCUUUCUCAUAGAUGCUUUUCCCAGUGGCCCAAAGCGAGUAUCUUUGGACAGCAAUACAUCACCUAGAUUUACAACCUGGCCUCACGCCUGAGGCCAGCUGCAGCACGUGAACUGAACGGAACAGAACAGGGCCACAUCCAGAAGAUGCUCUUCACAUCACAGACACGGGGGCCUUACCUACGCAGCUUCCCAGCAAGGGGAAGGAAGGUGUUCCUACUAGUAAAGUCAGUAUGGAUAUAGUGCAACAAAUAUCUGUCAGGUGACUUGAGAAAAGGAGUCCUUUAUAAAGAGCUUUUUAAAAAUUUAUCAAAGAUGCCACAUGGGCCAGUAGUAACCCUGGAGCCUUAUAUUUGUUCUAGGAAAUGAUGUAACUUCUCUCUUCAUAUUCUUCCCUACCUGUUUUAUAUCUUUGUUCCCUUAAAACAUGGGGAAAGGUAGCACUGUAGGAGUGUGGCAGAGGAACUGAGCAGCAUAUAGGUGAUUGCAAAAGACCAGCUUUGGCUUUUUAGCCUUGAGUUCAAGAGCCUCUCUAGGAUAAACUCUUGGGUGCCCUCUGUCUCUUGUUUUCUUGACUUUCUUGAUUAGCAGGGCUUCAAAAAUAGCAAGUAAGAAAUAACAGGAAAAAAUGCUCCAGGUGUAGACAGCCUUAUAUAUUUCUACAGGUAUAUAAGUUACAUAUAAUGUACGUAUAGAUAGUAUGUUUUUUGGCACCUGUUUCUGUACACCUGCUAUAUACUUCAAUAAAAAUUUAUUUCAAAAAAAUCUUGACUGGU